rnacentral:snoRNA from 1 species
GAGGGACACUGUUAAGAGCUUGGAGCCAAAGCCACUUACUGGCCAAAGAUCUCACCAGUAUAGUGUGCUUCACAAAAGGCCAGUUUAAGCCUCUAACACCCCAAGGGUCUUUGGGCCAAUGACAAGAAUGUGAUAUUAAUCCUUGCUACAGGG